rnacentral:lncRNA from 1 species
CUGGCGUGGGCGAGGCGGGGCUCGGGGCUCGCGGUCGCUGUAGCCGCGCGGGGAUCUGGGGUUUCUCUGGGACAGCGGCGGCGGCGGUGGGCGGACCGUGGCGCGGGGACGAGCGGCCGGUUAGCGGCGUGUCGGAGCCGGUGUCACCUGCGGGAGAGGAAGGCGAGAGAGGGCAGCGGCUAGUCAGCCUUCGGAGAGCCCCACGGCGGCAGGGGAGACCUCGCCGGGGCCGUCACCUGCUGGGUGCCUUGGAAAGUUAGGGUCACCGGGAAGGUUAGGGUCACGUGCCUUUCAGGUUGCGGGCCCUUCCCCCACAUCCAUGACCCCACACGCCACAGGCAGCACAGCUUGGCCGCCUUCUUGUUCUGGUUGAGCCCCAGCUUGGUCGACUUGAAGGACUCCAGGCGCUUCCGCAUGGUCCUGUGGAAGAUUUCCCGGUCCUGUUUCUCGUCCUCCGUGGGCGUGAGCUCGUGUCGGCUGUACAGAUGCUUGUACUGCGGGAUCAGGCACGGAGGUCACAGCUGUGCCCACCGCCGGACAUUCUCGCCCUCCUGCCGCAGGAGCUGAGCACGGAUCCCCCGUGGUCCCAGGAGGGGACGAGGAAGCCGCCCCACGGGGUCCCUGCGGGGUCCUCCAGCCCCCAGCCCGCAGUGCCCACCUCCUGCCGCGGCUUGUACAGGCCAGGAGCCACCACAGCCCUGUCUGUGACUCUCAGCUCCCGAGGCUGGGCUCUUCCCCAGGGAAGCUGCAUGACCAUGGCCACAUACAGGAGGAGACCCUAAAACUCCAUUGGCCUCAUGUCCAGAACUGAAUCAGCCAGUGCCAGAGCCUGCUGCAGCCCCGACCCGGCAGAGCAAGCGGCUCUGCUACCUCAGCCACGUAGCUGAUGGCAUCCUUCAGGUUCAGCUCGUGGAAGACAUUCAGGAUCCGGUCUCGAGACUUCUGGGCCGACCGUCUCAUGAGGACCCUGCUGAGGAACUUCCUGUCGAAGUGGGACCACCUGUAGGGACAGACCUUGGGUGUGAGCCUCAGGUGACAGGCGCCCUAGAGCCCGCCGGACGCGUGGCCCGGCCCCUUCUCUCCUGAAUUUUGUUUGCUAUAGUGACCCUGUAGGCGCGUUUAAAAUGAGGGAAGCAGCCCCUGCCACACGCCCAGGCCGUCCGCCGUUCUCCCGCCUGUCCUGUUGGAUGGAGGCCGUUAGACGCAUAUGAAACUGCAUGCCGCCUCCUCCAGAGGGUGGCUCAGGACACGCCUAACGGAAUUAGAGUAUUCGCUGGUUAUCCAGAUCAGAAGGGACGGUGGCCUGGCCGGACUUAGAGGAAACUCUGGGGCACAAGGAGGUGAUGCCUGUCACUUGGACAUGGGUGCAGCCGCCAGAGCCGCCCUCCAGGGCACAGGGUGGGCCCGGGUGAGCUUGUGUGCUCACACCUGGGCAGGCCCCGCGGCAGCAAUGGCAGCUCUCCUGUACAGGCUGAGUUUCAGCCACACCAAGAAGUCAAAGCUAACCGAGGCUGUGCCUUCCGAGACCCCCGGGAUGGCCCCUGGGAGGCCAAGGAGUCGGGGACUGGGUACCCGGAGCAGAGUCACUGUGGCCACGGAGAACCGCAGCUGAGCUUUAUGAAGCCACGUGGCCACACCUCCCGGUGCCUCCACCCCAAGCAAACACAGAUCGCUCAGAAAAUGGGAACCCAGGGCAAAUUGUAUGUGCUCCUUACUGGGUUUAUUAUAAGUGUCACAUGUUUUUUAUAAUAAAACAUAGGUGAUUUCACCUUAAUGGACAAA